ACUAUUUUGGCAGAUAAGUGUAUUGAAUUUAGAAUUCAAAUAUGUAAUAGGAUUACAAAUAGUA
rnacentral:tRNA from 1 species